UAGGGAAUAUUGCACAAUGGGCGAAAGCCUGAUGCAGCAACGCCGCGUGUGCGAUGAAGGCCUUCGGGUCGUAAAGCACUUUUCUGGGAGAUGAGAAAGGACAGUAUCCCAGGAAUAAGUCUCGGCUAACUACGUGCCAGCAGCCGCGGUAAAACGUAGGAGGCGAGCGUUAUCCGGAUUCACUGGGUGUAAAGCGCGUGCAGGCGGUUCGGUAAGUUGGGCGUGAAAUCUCCUGGCUCAACUAGGAGAGGUCGUCCAAUACUACCGGGCUUGAGAGCGGUAGAGGAAGAUGGAAUUCCCGGUGUAGUGGUGAAAUGCGUAGGUAUCGGGAGGGAAACCAGUGGCGAAGGCGAGCUUCUGGACCGUUUCUGACGCUCAGACGCGACAGCUAGGGUAGCAAACGGG
rnacentral:rRNA from 1 species